rnacentral:lncRNA from 1 species
CAUUCAAACAUCUUUAUGGGUGGGAAGAAGCUCAUGACAUUUCCAGUCAAAAAGCCAGAUAAGCGAAUUCAUCUACUCAAACUGUGGCCACUGUCCACCUGGGAGUAGUAAAGAAACGUUCGCGUCUAUUUACGUGUGGCUAUGCAUCUUUCUUUUGCUCUGGGAUGUUUUGUACAUUGUCUCGAUGAGGAUUAAUUACGCACCCAAACAAACAAACAUAGAAAGGGGCGGGUGUGGACAAGAGUAGGGAUCUGACAUAUAGCAGUUGAUUUCCCAUGGGCAAAGGAAAUGGGCUCUGAAGUCACUGUGUGGGGCUUUGACCAAAUGGAAUAGUUUAUAAAAGCUAUAGUAGCAACCGUGUUUAUUUUCUCUGCGCAGGCCCUUGUUGACAGCUUUCACUGUUCAGACGGUGAUCACAGGCGGAUUGCUUGUGGGCCUCCGUUCCUGAUUCCUGAGGUGAGCUGGCAAUCUUCAGAAAUACCGAGGCGUGUGUAAACAAGGUUAUUGGUGACUGCAGGGUGAGACCGCCUACAACGCCCCCAAACACGCCUCAGUGCAGAAUGUACUUGCAGAAAUUUGGCUGGCAGUUCAGAUCAUUCAGACACCAUCCUUGAAGCUUCAUUACCAGGGUAGAUGUGCAUCAAAGACCCCGACUGAGGACACAUCAGUGGACUCACCCAGUGGGAAUUAUCUCCUCCCCAAAGCUUCCAGUCCAGGGCUGGCUGCUCCGAGCUGGGCCAAUCAAUUUAUCUCCUGAUGCAUGUCAUUAUCCUUUUGCAUGUCUGUGCCAGAAAGUUUUGUAAAUGUGAACCUGGCGAAGCGGAAUCCUUUGCAAAGGAGAGUUGCAGGGAGCAACAAGGUCAAUGUCAGGGAGGCAGAGGGUCGGUGACCACAUGCUAAGAAGGGGUGGGGAGAGGUCCUCAGCUUUGCUGAAUGCUCUGCCAGGGAGUAGCCCUUUGCCAUUGAGACUCCCUGUUGAGACUUCUGGGAUUCUGUUACAGGCAACUGAGUGAUUUAACAACCAGGACAAAUAUACUGUGCUUGGAACGGAAAAAACCCCGACUUCUACAUUUGGAUUCUCAGAGCCGUGCUAACCAGAUGUAAAAUGCAGGGAGAGGCACCAUGGUGAUUGAGUUUUCAUCUUUGAAACACAACAGCAUGCCAAUCUUCUA